rnacentral:rRNA from 1 species
GUCUACGGCCACGCUACCCUGAACAAGCCCAAUCCCGUCUUAUCUCGGAAGCUAAGCAGGGUCGUGCCUGGUUAGCACCUGGAGACAACCUAGGAAGACCAGGUGCUGUAGGCA